CUUAUGUAUGGCAGUACAUAGCGGAGCUCGUUAAUCCUGUGCUUCGGGAAGGAGGAAUCUCUUUGAGAGAAUUAUUAAUUGAAUUUAGCAAACCACUACUUCCUGUGGCAAGAGCCGGCAUAUUAUUUGCAGAAAUAUUGCAGCUUCUCUGCAAACAAAUGAGCCAAAAGGAAGUGGAGGCCUUAUGGAGGGACUCUAAACUGAGCUGGGCUGAUUUUCUUCCUGAAACCGUGGAUGGGAAUUUCAUUUCCCUGAUGAAGUCUGAUGAUCUGAAGAGGGUGGAG